CACCGCGGUUAUACGAGAGGCCCAAGUUGAUAGCCCCCGGCGUAAAGAGUGGUUAAAUUAACUGUAAACUAGAGCCGAAUAUCUUCAAAGCCGUCAUACGCACAUUGAAGACAAGAAGCCCACUAACGAAAGUGGCUUUAAAUACUAUUGAACCCACGAAAGCUAGGAUA
rnacentral:rRNA from 1 species